UACGUCCUACGGGAGAAAGCAGGGGAUCUUCGGACCUUGCGCUAUUGGAUGAGCCUAAGUCGGAUUAGCUAGUUGGUGGGGNAAAGGCCUACCAAGGCGACGAUCCGUAGCUGGUCUGAGAGGAUGAUCAGCCACAUCGGGACUGAGACACGGCCCGAAUCUCCUACGGGAGGCAGCAGUGGGGAAUAUUGGACAAUGGGGGCAACCCUGAUCCAGCCAUGCCGCGUGUGUGAAGAAGGCUUUCGGGUUGUAAAGCACUUUCAGUAGGGAGGAAAACCUUAUGGCUAAUACCCAUGAGGCUUGACGUUACCUACAGAAGAAGCACCGGCUAACUCCGUGCCAGCAGCCGCGGUAAUACGGAGGGUGCAAGCGUUAAUCGGAAUUACUGGGCGUAAAGCGCGCGUAGGUGGUUUGGUAAGCGAGAUGUGAAAGCCCCGGGCUUNACCUGGGAACGGCAUUUCGAACUGUCAGACUUGAGUGUGGUAGAGGGUAGUGGAAUUUCCUGUGUAGCGGUGAAAUGCGUAGAUAUAGGAAGGAACACCAGUGGCGAAGGCGGCUACCUGGA
rnacentral:rRNA from 1 species